rnacentral:rRNA from 1 species
GACGCUGGCGGCAGGCUUACCAUGCAAGUCGAGCGGUAACAAGAGUACUUGCUACUUUGCUGACGAGCGGCGGCGGGUGAGUAAUGCUUGGGAAUAUGCCUUGAGGUGGGGGACAACAGUUGGAAACGACUGCUAAUACCGCAUAAUGUCUACGGACCAAAGGAGGGGAUCUUCGGACCUUUCGCCUUUAGAUUAGCCCAAGUGAGAUUAGCUAGAUGGUGGGGUAAAGGCUCACCAUGGCGACGAUCUCUAGCUGGUUUGAGAGGAUGAUCAGCCACACUGGGACUGAGACACGGCCCAGACUCCUACGGGAGGCAGCAGUGGGGAAUAUUGCACAAUGGGCGAAAGCCUGAUGCAGCCAUGCCGCGUGUGUGAAGAAGGCCUUCGGGUUGUAAAGCACUUUCAGUUGUGAGGAAAGGUAAGUAGUUAAUAACUGCUUGCUGUGACGUUAGCAACAGAAGAAGCACCGGCUAACUCCGUGCCAGCAGCCGCGGUAAUACGGAGGGUGCGAGCGUUAAUCGGAAUUACUGGGCGUAAAGCGUGCGUAGGCGGUUUGUUAAGCGAGAUGUGAAAGCCCAGGGCUCAACCUUGGAACUGCAUUUCGAACUGGCAGGCUAGAGUACUGUAGAGGGUGGUGGAAUUUUCCAGUGUAGCGGUGAAAUGCGUAGAGAUUGGAAGGAACAUCAGUGGCGAAGGCGGCCACCUGGACAGAUACUGACGCUGAGGCACGAAAGCGUGGGGAGCAAACAGGAUUAGAUACCCUGGUAGUCCCCGCCGUAAACGAUGUCAACUAGCUGUCUGUGGACUUGAUCCGUGGGUAGCGAAGCCAACGCAUAAGUUGACCGCCUGGGGAGUACGGCCGCAAGGUAAAACUCAAAUGAAUUGACGG